GCCCUUACACUUACAAUUCUCACUUUAGUGAAUAAUCCGGUAAUUAUCUUCUGUCAAUUUCUCUUCUUUUCUUUUCCCUGUCUAUUCAUUAAACAGUGAGUUGAAAUAUAACUUGAAACAUUUAGGCCAAAACAGAAGAGUUGUAUAAAGUCAUCUCAACUUUUUCAAAUCACUGUUUAGUGAAUAGACACCUAAGUGUCUAAGGGAAAGCAGAGAGACCAGUGAUACAUUUAGGGAAAGGGGACAGACCGGGAAGGCAAUUAGGAAAGGGAUAGAGAGAUUGUUGAGGUUUUUAGGAAACUGAUACAGACUAGGAGACAUUUUAGGAGAGACACAGUGAGCAGACAUUUAGGGGGGGAAAAAGAAACUGUCCAAUAUGAACACACACACACUGCCAAUACAUACAUACAUCCAUACACACACACCCUGCCAAUACAUCCAUCCAUACACACACACCCUGCCAAUACAUCCAUCCAUACACACACAGACUGCCAAUACAUACAACCAUACAC